UAGGUGGAAGGGAAGAGCAUCAGGUGGUGAAGCUGAACCAGGAGAGUCUAAAAACCACGUGGCCUCUCAGGCACCCUUGAGUCUAGAGGGAGUUCCCUGAUCUUACAUUUGAGAGUGAUUCUAGGGGCCAACACCUUGAGGCCAGAGGCAACAGAAAGAGGAUUGAGUGAAGCAGGAAGCCUGCAAAGCCCUGGAUUCCAAUCCAGCUCUAGCUGCGAGGCGCUGGGCACGGGUCACUGCUCUGCGGCUCUGCUUGCUUGUCUGCAAGGGUUCUGCAAUAGCCAAGCAACAAAUGGAAGCUGUCAGAAAGUAUUUGUAGG
rnacentral:lncRNA from 1 species